CGGGACGUGGCGCAGCCUGGUAGCGCACCUGCUUUGGGAGCAGGGGGUCCCCGGUUCGAAUCCGGGCGUCCCGA
rnacentral:tRNA from 1 species